GUGGAGCAUGUGGUUUAAUUCGAGCUACGCGAAGAACCUUACCAGGUCUUGACAUACUAUGCAAAUCUAAGAGAUUAGACGUUCCCUUCGGGGACAUGGAUACAGGUGGUGCAUGGUUGUCGUCAGCUCGUGUCGUGAGAUGUUGGGUUAAGUCCCGCAACGAGCGCAACCCUUAUUAUCAGUUGCCAGCAUUAAGUUGGGCACUCUGGUGAGACUGCCGGUGACAAGCCGGAGGAAGGUGGGGAUGACGUCAAAUCAUCAUGCCCCUUAUGACCUGGGCUACACACGUGCUACAAUGGAUGGUACAACGAGUUGCGAACUCGCGAGAGUAAGCUAAUCUCUUAAAGCCAUUCUCAGUUCGGAUUGUAGGCUGCAACUCGCCUACAUGAAGUCGGAAUCGCUAGUAAUCGCGGAUCAGCAUGCCGCGGUGAAUACGUUCCCGGGCCUUGUACACACCGCCCGUCACACCAUGAGAGUUUGUAACACCCAAAGUCGGUGGGGUAACCUUUAGGAACCAGCCGCCUAAGGUGGGACAGAUGAUUAGGGUGAAGUCGUAACAAGGUAACCA
rnacentral:rRNA from 1 species